GAGAGAGAGAGAGAGAGAGAGAGAGAGAGAGAGAAAGAGAGAAACAUAAAGUGAGAGAUUUAAAUUGGGUCUUUCUUCCACCUUCUGUCAUUCAAUACGUUAAAACUGAAACCUUUAUUUUGUGUUUUGUGUUCACACACAUUUUCUAAAUCGCUUAUCCUUUUGGGUCGCAGGGGGAGCUGGAACCUAUCAGCUGGAGCUGUCAUUGGGCAGAAGUGUUGCAGUAAGCCAACACCAGUGCUGUGAUCGCAAGCUGCACUGUUCCAAACCAGAGAUGACAUCACUCCCCCCACCAUCACCACCACCACCUCUCUCCAUUUUCUCAAACAAAGCCCGGUCCAAACCCAGGCCUGUAAUUACAGGCCUAAUCUGUGCGCUGCCAGGGGCAGAAUAGAGCUCUGGUCUGGGCCUUCGCCAGCCUCGCAAACAUGUGCUCCGAGUUUAGGCCACAGACAUGGAGUUCAGUGGAGAACGAUCUGAAAAAAAAUCACAGCUGUUUCUGUCCAUCCUUCCUCUGUGAUAAGACAACUCAACACUAUGAGUCUGAAAGGAUGGGUAGCUGUAAAGACGCUGCUGGUGUUAUUGAGAAAAGGAAACAGACAAAGAAGAAGAUCUGCAAAUCAAACAAAGAAGCUGCUGGGUGGUCUCAGAACAAUGGACUGACCACCCCAUAGUCCAGAACUUCAACAUCUCACAAUGGGUUUCGGGACCAUGUGGAUUGCGAGAAGCAGAAAUUGCAACCAACUUCUAAGACUGAACUUUGUAAGUGUGGAAAAAUAUCCCUUCAGAUUUUUUUGACUGGAAGCAAGUCUUCAGAAAAGAACAGAAGCUGUAAUGAAGGCAAAGC